UGCUAUAAUGCAGUCGAGCGGACAGAAGGGAGCUUGCUCCCGGAUGUUAGCGGCGGACGGGUGAGUAACACGUGGGUAACCUGCCUGUAAGACUGGGAUAACUCCGGGAAACCGGAGCUAAUACCGGAUAGUUCCUUGAACCGCAUGGUUCAAGGAUGAAAGACGGUUUCGGCUGUCACUUACAGAUGGACCCGCGGCGCAUUAGCUAGUUGGUGGGGUAAUGGCUCACCAAGGCGACGAUGCGUAGCCGACCUGAGAGGGUGAUCGGCCACACUGGGACUGAGACACGGCCCAGACUCCUACGGGAGGCAGCAGUAGGGAAUCUUCCGCAAUGGACGAAAGUCUGACGGAGCAACGCCGCGUGAGUGAUGAAGGUUUUCGGAUCGUAAAGCUCUGUUGUUAGGGAAGAACAAGUGCGAGAGUAACUGCUCGCACCUUGACGGUACCUAACCAGAAAGCCACGGCUAACUACGUGCCAGCAGCCGCGGUAAUACGUAGGUGGCAAGCGUUGUCCGGAAUUAUUGGGCGUAAAGGGCUCGCAGGCGGUUUCUUAAGUCUGAUGUGAAAGCCCCCGGCUCAACCGGGGAGGGUCAUUGGAAACUGGGAAACUUGAGUGCAGAAGAGGAGAGUGGAAUUCCACGUGUAGCGGUGAAAUGCGUAGAGAUGUGGAGGAACACCAGUGGCGAAGGCGACUCUCUGGUCUGUAACUGACGCUGAGGAGCGAAAGCGUGGGGAGCGAACAGGAUUAGAUACCCUGGUAGUCCACGCCGUAAACGAUGAGUGCUAAGUGUUAGGGGGUUUCCGCCCCUUAGUGCUGCAGCUAACGCAUUAAGCACUCCGCCUGGGGAGUACGGUCGCAAGACUGAAACUCAAAGGAAUUGACGGGGGC
rnacentral:rRNA from 1 species